GUACGGGAGGCAGCAGUGGGGAAUAUUGGACAAUGGGCGCAAGCCUGAUCCAGCCACGCCGCGUGCAGGAAGAAGCAUCUAUGGUGUGUAAACUGCUUUUGUACGGGAAGAAACACCUCUACGUGUAGAGGCUUGACGGUACCGUAAGAAUAAGGAUCGGCUAACUCCGUGCCAGCAGCCGCGGUAAUACGGAGGAUCCAAGCGUUAUCCGGAAUCAUUGGGUUUAAAGGGUCCGUAGGCGGUUUGAUAAGUCAGUGGUGAAAGCCCAUCGCUCAACGAUGGAACGGCCAUUGAUACUGUCAGACUUGAAUUACUAGGAAGUAACUAGAAUAUGUAGUGUAGCGGUGAAAUGCUUAGAUAUUACAUGGAAUACCAAUUGCGAAGGCAGGUUACUACUAGUGGAUUGACGCUGAUGGACGAAAGCGUGGGGAGCGAACAGAAUUAGAUACCCGAGUA
rnacentral:rRNA from 1 species